UUGGACAAAUUGUUGCACAAAUGGAGGAUUGUGAAGAUGUUGAUGCUGCAUGGGAGUGACAUUAAGGAAGUCUGCAUGUAUAUGGGAGAAGAUCCAGCCAAGCUAAUCCAGGAGUAUGUGGGUGUGGAUGAAGCUACCACUGAAGAGGCUAUUGGAACCACCACCAUCAGCGUUUUUCAUCUGAAAGACUUCAUCACAUGAAGACAUCAAGAUCGUCCUUGAAGGCAUCAGAGUGGUGUCCAAUUUGGAUAGUGUGCCAACAGCUGCUGUAAUACUUGAAGGACUGAUAUAUGGACUGAACCUCGCCUACCCUGCUGACCUCCGCUGAACCUCGCUGACCCUGCUGACCUCCGCUACACUUUUGAGGUGUUACAGAAGAUAACAAUGGAACUGGAUGGAGGUGAACUGUCCAACAAGACAUUAUUCCUUAAAAACUGCCUCUAUGAGUGGGUAAAUGGGCAUUUUAAAAUUUUUUAUUUAAUAAUGUUCUAAUGUUCACUUUUUGUGCUUUCUGUUGUUGUAUUCCUCAUUGCAGGGCACAAUUUUAUUAUUUUUUAAUGACUAACUGCAGAAAUAUGUACAAGGUCAACUAUUUAGUUGCCUUAUGUGAUAAGCAAUAGGUUUUUCACAUAUUUGUUUAAACUCACUAUGAUAUUUUAUAGUAAACAGUAAAACAUGAGACUGAUGAUAUAAA